AGGCACUCUGACUGUACCAAAUGUUUUCCGCAACCCAUUGAUGUUAUCGGGUACGUGCCGAUAUCGGUCGUGUCUCUGGGAGACGGGACUAUCUAAUUAUAAAGGAAAAGCCCCUUCGUUACAGUAAUGAAGCAGAAUUAGGAAGAAGCAGAGGAGGAAACGAAGGAGAAAGGAGGGAGCAGGUGCUGAGAAUAGCACCUUUUGUCUGCAUUAUGGGUGCCUCUCAUUUUCGUAUUCUUCCAACUUCAAGGCCAAUUUGGAUCAGAAAACCUAAGGAAUUAUGCAGUCCAUGUAAUGUCAACUUCUCAUAAUAAGAGUAUAUGACGAGAAGACAUAGGAGAAGAAUCAGGCCAUUCAGUGCAUUGAGUCUGUUCCACCAUUCUAUCAUGGCUGACUUAUUAUUCCUUCCAACCUAAUUUUCCAACCUACUCUCCAUAAUGUUCGAUGCCCUGACUGUUCAAGAGCCUAUGAACCUCCACUUUAAAUAUACUCAGUGACUUGGCCUCCACAGCCAACUGUGGCAAUGAAUACAACUACCCUCUGGCUGAAUAAAUUACUCCUCAUCUCUGUUCUAAAUGGACACCCCUCUAUUCUGAGUUUGUGCUCUCUGAUCCUAGACUCACCAACUAUAGGAAAUAUCUUCUCCACAUCUACUCUAUCCAGACCUUUCAAUGUUCGGUAGAUUUCAGAGAUCCCCCACCCCCUCCCAUUAUU